GAAUCCGCCUAAGGAGUGUGUAACAACUCACCUGCCGAAUGAACUAGCCCUGAAAAUGGAUGACGCUUAAGCGGAUUGCCGACACCAGACCGUUUUGGUAAGAAGCGACCAAAAUGAGUAGGAGGGCGUGGCGGUUUUGUUGAGAAGGAUGAGACGCAAGUCUAUCUGAAACGGCCGCUAGUGCAGAUCUUGGUGGUAGUAGCAAAUAUUCAAGCGAGAUCCUUGAAGGGCGAAGCGGGGAAGGGUUCCACGCGAACAUUGAUUGGGCGUGGGUGAGUCGUUCCUAAGCCGGGUGGUAAUCGUUCUUCGAUCGGCGAAAGGGAAGCGGGUUAAAAUUCUCGCACACGGAUGUGGAGGCGGUGACGCAAAUUGAGGUGGAGACGUUAGCGAUGGCACUGGGCAGAGUUGUCUUUUCUGUUUAACCUGUGAGUGCACUCUGUGGAAUCCGAUUAUCGGGAGAAACAGGUGCUUAUGGGAAGAGCGUCGGGGCGUCCCCGGCGUCCAGUACGCCAUCGAUAGCCCCUGAAAAUCCAUCUGCAAUGAAAUUUCACGCCGUGGCGUACCGAUAACCGCAUCAGGUCCCCAAGGUGAACAGCCUCUGCUCAAUAUGAAUAAUGCAGGUAAGGGAAGUCGGCA
rnacentral:rRNA from 1 species